rnacentral:rRNA from 1 species
GACGAACGCUGGCGGCGUGCUUAACACAUGCAAGUCGAACGGAAAGGCCUUGCUUUCGUGGGGUGCUCGAGUGGCGAACGGGUGAGUAACACGUGAGUAACCUGCCUUUGACUUUGGGAUAACUUCAGGAAACUGGGGCUAAUACCGGAUAGGAGCUCCUGCUGUAUGGCGGGGGUCGGAAAGUUUCGGCGGUUGGGGAUGGACUCGCGGCUUAUCAUUUUGUUGGUGGGGUAGUGGCUUACCAAGGCUUUGACGGGUAGCCGGCCUGAGAGGGUGACCGGACACAUUGGGACUAAGAAGCGGCCCAGACUCCUACGGGGGGCAGCAGUGGGGAAUAUUGCACAAUGGGCGGAAGCCUGAUGCAGCAACGCCGCGUGCGGGAUGUCGGCCUUCGGGUUGUAAACCGCUUUCGCCUGUGACGAGGCGUGGGUGGCGGUAAUGAGUAGAGGAGCACCGGCUAACUACGUG